rnacentral:rRNA from 1 species
UACGAAGGGGGCUAGCGUUGCUCGGAAUCACUGGGCGUAAAGCGCACGUAGGCGGCUUUUUAAGUCAGAGGUGAAAUCCUGGAGCUCAACUCCAGAACUGCCUUUGAUACUGGAGUGCUUGAGUCCGGGGAGAGGUGAGUGGAACUGCGAGUGUAGAGGUGAAAUUCGUAGAUAUUCGCAAGAACACCAGUGGCGAAGGCGGCUCACUGGCCCGGUACUGACGCUGAGGUGCGAAAGCGUGGGGAGCAAACAGGG